rnacentral:rRNA from 1 species
CAGUAGCCACGGGAAUACGGAGGAUCCAAGCGUUAUUCGGAAUCAUUGGUUUAAAGGGUCCGUAGGCGGUCUUGUAAGUCAGUGGUGAAAGCCCAUCGCUCAACGGUGGAACGGCCAUUGAUACUGCAGGACUUGAAUUAUUGGGAAGUAACUAGAAUAUGUAGUGUAGCGGUGAAAUGCUUAGAGAUUACAUGGAAUACCAAUUGCGAAGGCAGGUUACUACCAAUUGAUUGACGCUGAUGGACGAAAGCGUGGGUAGCGAACAGGAUUAGAUACCCCUGUAGUCCCUGUCUCUUAUACA